rnacentral:tRNA from 1 species
UGGGGACGGAGAGACUCGAACUCUCACACCUUGCGGCGCUGGAACCUAAAUCCAGUGCGUCUACCAAUUUCGCCACGUCCCC